rnacentral:lncRNA from 1 species
CGCACCCCAUGUCCCCGCCCGCUGUAGCGCCACAGCUCUUUGGGCGUUGAUUCUAGGGUCAGGGCCCUCACUCACACUGCUGGAAGGUUAAAGUCGACUUCACGCUAGUUUAAGGAAAUAUCUGACGCUGAUAACCAUGUCCCAAGCACUGCUCUAAGUUCCCAAUGUGUCCGGAAUUGGUGGGUUCUUGGUCUCACUGACUUCAAGAAUGAAGCCACGGACCCUCGCGUUUUAGACUAUGCUAAAAACAGCCUCAGGACCUUCAGCACUGAUCAACAAUCCUGGGCAUGGGCUGACCGACAGUUUUCACCCAGAGAGUGAAGAUCAUGGAGGAGCCAUCUUAAAUUCUGCCCAGCGCAGGCUCCCAGGAAUCCUAAUGUCACGAUCUCACUGCAGCCAAUGUGACAAACACAGCAGUAAUUAAGUCUAGAGAGCUAAACACACCUCAAAAAGAAUUGUCUCUUGGUAUGAGUGGAAUGGAAUAAAAUACAUGGAAACCCA